CCUCUGGUAGCUCAGUUGGUAGAGCGGUGGACUGUAGUUGGGCAAACAUUAUAGCAGCUAUCCAUAGGUCGCUGGUUCAAAUCCGGCCCGGAGGA
rnacentral:tRNA from 1 species